GUCCUGUGAAAUGAGGAGCCUGCAUUUUUUCCAGCUCAAAAGUACCUUUUUAUAAAUGUCACAAAGUUUGUUAUCAGGCAGAGUGCAGCUAUAAAAUUUUUGCAGUCAUUAAAUAUUGUUGUGACUGUCUUUCAUCCUGAGCUUUUCUUCACUGGAUUUAAUAUUUUUCAGUAUCUUUUGACUAGUGCAGCGUACUUUGAUUUUGACAGGUGCUUGCACUUCUAAACAGAUAAGCCUGGGUGUUUUGCUAAACCCAGUGAAACAUUUACAUACUUGUAAAAGGGAUAGCCUGCAUUUUCAUCCAGCUUUGAAACUCCUUAAUCACUAAAAGCCCUGGGGAGACGGCAACUAUGAACCUUAAGCAACCAUUACAUCUUUUGACUCUUAUUCAGCCCUGAUAUUUCUUCAUUGGAUUUAAUGUUUUGUACUACAUGUGACUGGUGCCUCUCACUGGAGCUUUACAUGUCCUUGCAUUUAUAAACAGAAAGCAAGCUCCGCCCACUCCAUUGAGAGGUUCAAGUCCACACUUCUCAAACGCAUGUAUAUCACCUUGAAGAUGAGAGAAAUGUCCCAAAAAUAAAGCAAUCGAAGCUACUGCACAUUUAGGCAUUACACCAACAGUAAUUUCCCAUGGAAAACAGUGUGUCAUCGUGUUCCUUUGCAUCUUGUGCUUUGGGCAACAGACACUUGUGGAACUUCACAUCAGCCACAUUUGGAUAAACCCACUCAGCAAGCCGUGGUUGUUCCCAAGAUAAAAAGUAAUUGAUAGCUCUACUUUUGACAAGAUGGUGUCCUGCCUUCAGAAUAACCUACCAGUAAGCCUAUUGUGGAUCCACCACAAGAUGAAAUUUAAAACAGAAUUCACUCAAAACACUUUUUUAGUAACUAGAUGUACAAGUGUAACUAAGGCAUCACAGACUCUCAAGUAAGUACCCUCCCAAUACACACAUGCAAAAUAAACCUUUGUCUUCACUGGGAAUAAUGACCUAGGGCAGUGAUGACUGCUCUUAAACCAUUCUGGACAUAUUAGAUGUUUCUACUACCCUUACUAGAUAAUAUACUAUUAUGACCUAUGCUCUUGUUGUAUUUGUACAUAUUCACUAUUCUUUUUUCUUUUAAUUGGAUGAAAUUCUGAUAUCUGGACAUAUUCUGUUAAGUAUGAACUCUCUCUCAUUGUAUCUUUUGAGACCAUUUACAGGUUGCUAGUAAAGCACAUCCAGUUUGAGAAUAAUGCUAAGCUUUCUGAUUGGUGCAAUGCAGGUUGAGUGUUCUUGUCUGAUUCUAAAAAGUAAUAUAUGCUAUAACUAUUUCAAAUGUAUACAUUGGUCAUUUUAAAUGAGGCAUUGUACUAACCCUAAAUUAAACAUUUUCUUAUUGUAAUUAUAACAGCAUUGUGUCCUGGUAAAAUUGUGCGCUAAAACUUUCUUCUGUU